AUGUCCGGAGCCCUUGAUGUCCUGCAAAUGAAGGAGGAGGACGUUCUCAAGUUCCUUGCUGCAGGAACCAACUUAGGUGGCACCAACCUGGAUUUCCAGAUGGAACAGUAUAUCUAUAAAAGGAAAAGUGAUGGAAUCUACAUCAUAAAUCUAAAGCGGACUUGGGAGAAGCUCCUCCUGGCAGCUCGAGCCAUCGUGGCCAUUGAAAACCCUGCUGACGUCAGCGUCAUAUCCUCCAGGAGCACUGGCCAGCGGCCUGUGCUGAAGUUUGCUGCUGCCACUGGAGCUACUCCUAUCACUGGCCGCUUUACUCCUGGAACCUUCACUAACCAGAUCCAGGCAGCCUUCCGAGAGCCACAUCUUCUGGUGGUUACUGACCCCAGGGCUGACCACCAGCCGCUAACGGAGGCAUCUUAAGUCAAUCUGCCAACCAUUCCUCUGUGCAACACAGAUUCUCCUCUGCGCUAUGUGGACAUUGCCAUCCCGUGCAACAAUAAGGGAGCUCACUCUGUGGGUUUGAUGUGGUGGAUGCUGCCCUGGGAAGUGCUGCGCAUGUGUGGCACCAUCUCCCAUGAACACCCAUGGCAUGCCUGAUCUCUACUUCUACCGGGAUCAUGAAGAGAUUGAAAAGGAAGAGCAGGCUGCUGCUGAAAAGGCUGUGACCAAGGAGGAAUUUCAGGAAGAAUGGACUGCACCAGCUCCAGAGUUCACUGCUGCUCACCCUGAGGUCGCAGACUGGUUUGAGGGCGUGCAGGUGCCGUCUGUGCCCAUUCAGCAGUUGCCUACUGAAGACUGGAGUGCUCAGCCGGCCACAGAAGAUUGGUCUGCGCCCCCACCACGCAGGCCACUGAGUGGGCAGGAAAUACCACUGAGUGGUCUUGA